CACAUGCAAGUCGAACGAACCGAGGGGCCGUUGAUCGGGUUUCGGAAGGGUUCGUCCCGGAAGAGCCCGUGAGGUUCCUUGGUUAGUGGCGAACGGGUGAGUAACACGUAGGUGACCUGCCCCGAAGAGGGGGAUAACCACUGGAAACGGUGGCUAAUACCCCGUAUGGUCUCGCAUUCGGUUGUGAGAUUAAAGGCUCYGGCGCUUCGGGAUGGGCSUGCGGCCUAUCAGCUAGUUGGUAGGGUAAUGGCCUACCAAGGCUAUGACGGGUAGCUGGUCUGAGAGGACGCACAGCCACACUGGCACUGAGACACGGGCCAGACUCCUACGGGAGGCAGCAGUGAGGGAUCUUGCGCAAUGGGGGAAACCCUGACGCAGCAACGCCGCGUGGGCGAAGAAGGUUUUCGGAUCGUAAAGCCCUUUUCUCUCGGACGAGGAAGGACGGUACGGGAGGAAUAAGCGUCGGCUAACUACGUGCCAGCAGCCGCGGUAAAACRUAGGACGCAAGCGUUAUCCGGAUUUAUUGGGCGUAAAGGGCGUCUAGGCGGCGUCUUAAGUUGGGCGUGAAAUCUUCCGGCUCAACCGGAAGGGUGCGUCCAAUACUGGGACGCUKGAGGGCAGCASAGGGAGGUGGAAUUCCCGGAGUAGCGGUGGAAUGCGUAGAUAUCGGGAGGAACACCAGUGGCGAAGGCGGCCUCCUGGGCUGUACCUGACGCUGAAGCGCGAAAGCGUGGGGAGCAAACGGGAUUAGAUACCCCGGUAGUCCACGCCGUAAACGAUGGAUACUAGGUGUUGGUGGUAUUGACCCCAUCAGUGCCGCAGCUAACGCAUUAAGUAUCCCGCCUGGGGACUACGGC
rnacentral:rRNA from 1 species